GAGCAAGUAACGUCUAAAUUAACUUUUUUUUGCUGAUGAACUGUAUAAAUGAGUGUCUAAUAGUGUUUUAAAUGUGUGCAUUCUUUAUUUUAGCAUUUUGGUGCAUUUUCUUUAAAAAUUAAAAAUUCUGUCUAAAAACCACAGUAAUGCGCCACCUUCAGCUGAAAACAUAGAAUUUGAGUCAUUUUGAAUAAAUUUUAGCCAAUGGCUAAAGAGUAAAGUACUACGUAAACCAGUAGAGUACUACGUAGCAGCUCCGUGCCAAAGUUAUAAAAGCAACGAGCGUCUCGGCCACGCCCUGUGGCGAGUGGGAGUUGGAUUUGCAAGCGAGUGUAGGAGGUCAGCGGUAGUUCAGCAUUAGCAUAUAGCAUUAGCAUAUCCUAGUCUUUAGCAUAUCUUUUAGUGUUAUAAAUACUUAUUUAGUGUUAGCUUGGCUGUUGUAUAUUAUAGUUUAGUUAGUGUUUGGCUGUUAGUGUAAUUGGGAAAGUAUUUCGGGUUUAGUGUUCCAUAUCGUCUUAGUAUUGGUGAGUAGGUGUAGUGUAGUAUGGUUGCGGUGACUCUGUGGGCAUUUUACCCGCGAUUCUGCACGUCUCCGUUUGAAGAGGGAGGCUGUGCCCACCGUGGCUCUUCCGCGAUUUAGAUGCAGCCCACCGACUCUGCUCCCCCACCACGGCGGGCUCCAGUCUGAGGUGAGUCAGCUAAAUAAACGUUUUAACAUCUUCUAAAGACAAUUCCCUACCUAAAUGCAAAGUCUGAGAGACGUGGUUCACUUCCUUUAGCUAGUCAGUCGGCAAUUCUGCAACAGUGACUCUAACUGACGCAGCACUUGUUGACAGCAUUACAGCGUGAAAUCCAGCUUGUGACCCGGUUCUGUGAGGAAUUCUGUUCAGGAGGUCGCAUUUCAGGCUCUCCACAUCAUAUGUGACUGACUUUUACGUUAUAACGAUCACACACUAGGAAUGUUAUAAAGCGCCUAUAUAGGAGAUUCUUUUGUAUAUUAUCUGACUAUAAACUCCAACAACAAUGUGCUUCUAUUUUUUUUUCAGGCUAAAUCUACCCAAGACACUGGCUGUCAGACUGAUUUAGCUGCAUGAAUGUACUUGUCCAGGCUGAUGUGAAACCUUCCCUGUAGCAAAGCCAGCCAGAAUGGAGUUCACAGCCGCAGUGUGUCUGGUGACCCACGGGGACCAUGAUGAAAAUUCAUCUUCCAGAAGGUCCCAGAGCGUCCAGACCCCCUGAAAAGACCAAGGUGUGAGGUGUCUGCUGUUGAUUCCAGCUUCCACCUCAGUGACAGUGCAAGCUCAGUGAACUGUUCAAGCCUGGCUGAUCACCUGAUAACUCCUGUCAUCUGGUUAUGACAGCAUGAGGAUGUCCUCACACACCUGUAACCUAUCAGCUCAUCUGGCAGAAUAGAGAGAGAAGAGACAACACCACAUCUCCUGUUCCUGGAAAGCCUUCAGCCUUCCUUCGAUGACUGAGAACCUCCAUCAGCUCUGUCUCCUGUCUGCCUACAAUUAUUAUAAUAAAUAUUGUGUUUGACAA